UGAGCCGCGGACACAGAUGGCCAAGCCCUGUGCGCGUGCACGGCCUGUUGUGUGGGGCCCGGCUGCAUUCGAUCUCAGCGCCUCACUUUGUUUCUUGGUCACAUCGCAGCUGUGGUUUGCGUACGUGUCUCCGCGGGUCCAUGUGUUAAGGGGCGUGGUUUUGCUCUGAACGCCCUCCUGCCGCCAGGUGCUGCUUCGCUCAGGCCCAGGGCAUCGGGGCCAACUGAUCACGAGCUGAAACUUCCAAACUAUCCACGCCUCGCCAUCUUGGCACCUGCGUCUGAGAGCCGGAGCCCAUGCCUGUCCUUCUGGUGGAGUGGGAGCAUUUUCCUCACGCCCCUGAUUUCCCCUGUUCAGGUUCUGAAGGAGGCCUUAGUCCAAGUGGAUCUCGGGUCACAGGCUUGUUGGAACCGAGAGGUCUGAGGAGACCGUUUCUCUCCAGUGGUGAAAAGGGCAACCCUGGCUGGUCCUCAGGCCCUGGAGGGCACCGGGGCAGAAGCAGUUAAGAGAGCAACGCCAGAGUUUCUGGCGGCCGAGCCCUGCUGGGUUCCAGCUCUAGGUGUCUGCUGGAAAGUGCAGCUGGGAGCCAGGUGACACGCUGUGUGUGUGUUUUGCUGUUACCAGAGAAAC
rnacentral:lncRNA from 1 species